rnacentral:lncRNA from 1 species
GGUAGGCUUAGUAAUCUAGAACCUCUUAAGCAUCACCCAGGGCUUGUGAUGGGGCCUGUUGAUUUAUCGUCUUAUCAUGAUGUUUUUACCUGAAACUAUUUUCAGCUCGAUUUCUGUUUGACAGGGUACCGAGUGAGACCCAGCUGACCUGGAAAAUGACAGGGACACUUUUUAUCCUUCCAACUUAACCUUUCCGUCCUGACUUAACCUUUCCCUCUUUGACACAAAUGAAGAAAUUAGGGCUCUUGACUGCUACUGAUUUAAGGGGAUUACAGAGGCACUGCCAGCGAGCAUGAGCACAAGAGUUUAGCGCCUCUCGGCAGCUGAGAGAGGAUGCUGCAUACUUGGGGCCUGGGACCUCCGAGAAGACCUUCUUCAGCCGAAAGCACACCUUAUUCUUGUCCCAGUUGAAGGCUUCCCAACGGUCUUCAUGUGGCACUUGCUGUGUGCCAGGCCCCACUCUGGGCACUUGGUUUAUUUAAUUCUAACCAUGGUCCUAGGUGAUGGGCGCUGGUAUGACUGUGGGAAAGGGACAAGGUGGGAGAUGUGAACGAACUUCCGGAGCCCUCCCUCGGGCAGCCUAGCUCCCCGCCUCCUCCAACACCUUCUGUUGCUUUUCCAGCACAGCCAGUACUGGGCUCUUGGGUUCGAGCACGGGGCGGGGUGAAGGGUGCUGGGAGGUCACAUUCUUGCUUCCCAGCACUGAAGACUGGAAGAAUGAAUGGCACAGAUGAACAAGGCCGUCCUGCAUCCGCCGCUCACUAGAGGCUUCACAGCUGCGUAGGGACACAGGACAUCUGUACAAUAAAUACCAAUGGUAUUAGUGCCCUAGGGCUGCAGGAACAAAGCACCACAGACUGGGGGUGCUGGAACAGCAGAAACUCAGGCUCUCCCAUUUCUGGAUGCCGGAAGUCCAAAAUCUAGUGUCGGCAGGGCUGUGUCCUCUCUGAGGUUUCCAGGGGAGGAGGCUUCCUUGCUUCUCUGGCUUCUGGUGGUGGCUGGCAAUGCUCGGCAUUCCUUGGCUUAUGGACGCAGCACUGAAAUUGCAGCCCUUAUCUUCAUGUGGCCUUCCUUGUGGCGCUCUGUGUCCAAAUGUCCCUCUCCUCUAAGGACACCAGUCAUCGGAUUAGGCCAGCUCUAAUCCGGUGUGCCUCAUCUUGAUUUAACUAACUACAUCUGCAAAGACACUAUUUCCAGAUUACGUCACGUUCCGAGGUUCCUGGUGGACGUGAAUUUUUGGAAGACGCUGUCCAACCUGGGACACCAGCCAGCCCCUCUCUGGCUCCCUCAGUCCCUCCACCCUUCGGAAGUGGUAAAUGGUGGCUUGCUAACAGCGCCUGUAGCAGCCACCUCCUGGUGAUGGCAAAGGAAGGGCCCUCUCAGUCAUAGGGGCCAAUGGCGAGGAGGACCUGGGACGUGGUGCACUGAGCAUUUUCCCUUCUCAGCAGCUCACUCCUUUGUGUGUCUGUGAUGCGAAGGCUGUGACAUCAGUCAGCCUCAUGGAGAACUGGAACAACGGGCUCUGUGUCUUUGGAGAACGCGUCAAGACCAGGGCCUCUUCCCCUGCUCCCAUGGUUCCCAGCGUUCUUGUCUCCUGAGAGAGGAUGUAGUGGGUGUCAUGUUCAGCAUCGCAACUGGCCUCCGUGGAAACCAGGGUGGAGCUCAGACGGGUGUGGGGGGAGCAUGUGACUGAGCUCCUUCCCACUCUCUCUCCGGCACACACGGAGUCAGUGUAGGGAGGUGAUGGGUAGACUCAGCCUGUGGGAUUCUGGCCUGGCUUCCCGGCAGCAAGCAGGAGCUUCAGAUGCUCAUUCCCGCCGCGGUCGGCUGUGGCGGCGACUCAUACCCGUUUCCGCUCGAAUGAUGCCAGCUGUCCUGCUGCGCCACCUUCCUCUGUCCUCGCAUCCGCUGAUGGGAUUUCCGGUCGCUUCCACUUUGUGGCUCUUUUGAAGAAUGCCGCUAGGAACAUUCACACGCAGGUUCUUGGCCAUAAAAUAUGGCUUUUGGAAAAAUAAAGCUGAGACUUGGAGUUCACGGUGGGGGCUCCCCCAUCUGUGAACAGAAGCAGAAGUUUGGAACUGCCUUCUUUACUGCUCGAGAGGGAAAACUUGAGUGAAAACCAGGAUGCUGGCGAAUGUUGAGUAGCUAAGCUGCACAGGAAAUACCACUUGAUGACCUGCGAUCUGGGGAAGCCGCGCCAGGGCUCUGCGAAGCUGCGGACGAGGGAGGCGUCAGUGUGGGGGCUGCAGCUCAGCUCCGGGGGGGACGCGCCUUUCUCCACGGGACCUGGGGCUCAGGUGCUCACGAGGCUGGGGCGCUGCAGGCCACCCGCAGGGGAAACUGAGGCCCUCCAUUUUGUGGGGCUGGAAGACCUUUCCUUCCAAAAGCAGGUGUAGGCGGGAGCACCUGUGCAGUCCCUCUGUUCAGAUCCUCACCCACUUUUAAAUCAGGAAACAGCAGAUGAAAUGCACAGUGUGAAGGACAAGGAUUCUGCUGAGAGAAUUGCUCCGAGGGUUGCUCAAGUGAUCAUGGGAAAUAAUGCAUCAAACCAUUCUUUAGAUGCAGCUCAGGUGUGCCUUUUCUUCGCCUGUGCCCAUCCACCUGAGAUGGACCAUAACCAUAAAAGUCAGAAGGCACUGACCCUUCAGGACGUGACAGGGUUAAAAGAUGCUGGAGGGAAAGUCUGUCAUUGACUUUUAUUCACUUCCUUUCUCCAUUCUGCCAUUUGGAAGAAGCAUAAAUUGCAGAUGAUAAUUCAAAUUCCUGCAUCAGGUGGAAAGUAGCAGAUUUAAAACACUGCAAAGAAGGGGCUGAGCAGUGAGACGGAUGCUUUGGAACAAUCGAGAAAGUAAGAGCCAGCUGUAAGGUUGCCUGCAGCCAUGGAGCAAUGAAGUGUCAAGGUCAAAGAUCCCCCCAGGUCACGCAGUCCUGCCACUCUCCCUCCCUCUAUGGCCCUGCGCACUUCCAGUGGCAUAGCUAGGGUGGAUGAAGGGGACACCUCUGACCACAUCUCUCUGCCCUCUGACUCAAGUCCUUCCUGCUAUAAUGAAAUCCCCCAUGCUCCCUGAGUUUGGCAUCUACUUAAUCAAAGAAUGUGGAGACUUAGUUCUCAGGAGGGCCGCUACUGAGUGGGUAUGCCACUGGUCAAGAGGGUAACAGGAGACAGAAGACCCAGGAGGAGACUUUGGCCUAAAUGGAUCAGCAACACCACAGAGCAUCCACUCCCCCAGAGCAUCACCCGGAAGGACCAUCCGUUCGGAGACAUCCUGGGAGAACAAGAGGUUUCUUGUCUGACUCUAAAAUUUAUUUUAUCAGUGUAUCUAGGAUUGGGCUGAGUUUAAACAGAAAACCUUUAAAUAAGCACUAUAUGCCUGCUAGACAUAUUAAUGCAAUAAAAGAACCCUGUGUCUUGCUAAACUAAAUUCUCAAAAGUUAACAUUAAAAAAUGAUUCACGG